AUCAUGCGGAGUAUCCGUGUAAACCCGGAGAGGUGGCACCCUUAUCAUCUUAUGCCUACAACUUGCUAUUAAAAUUGUACCUGAGUGAUCGUACUUUUGUCGUACUUCAGAACUCAAGCUACUCCUCUAACAACUUUAAUAUUCUAGCAGGAGUUCCUAAGGACUCACGUAUAUUUCUAAAACAUAUUUUACCGAACUCUGCACUUAUGUGAACGACACGACAAUUGUGCAGGCGCGUCCUCGAGAAAUUGAGGGGGAAAAGCUUAAAAGCUAAGUUAAUACGAGGUGUGGCUAUUAAAUAGCGAGACUGGUUACCAAAAAGUGUUUUAUUAUAAAAGUUAUUCUACAUUUAAAUGCUCCCCUUCAAUAUACUCCCCUCCCCUUGCCACACACCGUUUCAUUCGUUUCUUCCAUUGCUCGAGACAGUGCUGGAAGUCUGUUUUCGUAAGACCAUUCAGAAGUUCCGCCGAUUUUUGUUUCACCUCUUCCAUCGACUCAAACCGGAUUCCUUUUAAGGCAGACUUUAUCUUCGGAAACAAGUAAAAGUCGCAGGGUGCCAAGUCGGGUGAGUAAGACGCGUGUUCGAGUACUGGAGUACCUUAAGCGGCCAAAUAACGCUUCACGCUUUAUCCUGGUGCAAGAUCCACGACUUGUUUUUCCACAAUAUCGACCGUUUCUUACGAACUCAUUCGCGCAAUGUUGCCAAAACUGUCAAAUAGUAAUGUUGGUUCACAGUUUGACCCUCUGGAACCCAUUCAGUCAUCACGAUGCCGUUGAUAUCGAAGAAAACGGUUUUGAAUUUGNCCGAGAUAGGAAAUCCUCACUAUAGGCCUCUUUUAACAACUUAUAGCACUCAGUUGGAGUUUUUUUUAGUUUAACGAGAAAAUUGUACGUUUAUCCGUUGCUCAUGUUUUUCGGCACGAGAAAAAAACACGUUCGUUUCAAACCACU